GACCCGUGGCAUAUAGCUCAGUAACACGUGGCCAAACUACCCUAUGGACCAUGAUAACCUCGGGAAACUGAGGCUAAUCGUGGAUAUCGCAUUCACACUUGAACUGCCAAAUGCGAAAAACGUUCCGGCGCUAUAGGAUGUGGCUGCGGCCGAUUAGGUAAACGGGGGGGUAACGGCCCACCGUGCCAUUAAUCGGUACGGGUGGUGACAGCCAAAACCCGGAAACGGUAUCUGAAACAAGAUACCGGGCCCUACGGGGCGCACCAGGCGCGAAACCUUUACACUGCACGACAGUGCGAUAGGGGGACUCCAAGGGCGAGGGCAUAUAGCCCUCGCUUUUCUCGACCGUAAGGUGGUCGACAAAUAAGGACUGGGCAAGACCGGUGCCAGCCGCCGCGGUAAUACCGGCAGUCCGAGUGAUGGCCGCUGUUAUUGGGCCUAAAGCGUCCGUAGCUUGCCGUGAAAGUCUAUCGGGAAAUCAACGUGCUCAACGCGUCGGCUUCCGGUGGAAACUACACGGCUUGGGGCCGGAAGACUCAGCGGGUACUUCCGGGGUAGGAGUGAAAUCCUGUAAUCCUGGACGGACCACCAAUGGCGAAAGCACGCUGAGAAACCGGACCCGACAGUGAGGGACGAAAGCCAGGGUCUCGAACCGGAUUA
rnacentral:rRNA from 1 species